GACCCUGUAGUUCAAUGGAUAGAACAAUAGCCUUCUAAGCUGUGGAUCUUGGUUCGAUUCCAAGCGGGGUCA
rfam:Candidatus Magasanikbacteria bacterium RIFOXYC2_FTLL_42_28 rifoxyc2_full_scaffold_537, whole genome shotgun sequence.